rnacentral:rRNA from 1 species
CAAUAGCGUAUAUUAAAUUUGUUGCGGUUAGAAGGCUCGUAGUUGAAAUUUGCGCGUGUCCGAUUGGUCCAGCAAGUCUGCGCACUGAUUGGAUGCGUGCUUUGUCUGGGUUUGUGCGUGUGCUCCUUGAUUGGGGUGUGCGUGCGGCUCGCGACGAUUACUUUGAACAAAUUAGAGUGUUUAAAGCAGGCGGCAAUGCCGUGAAUACAUUAGCAUGGAAUAACGUAUAGGACUUUGGUUCUAUUUUGUUGGUUUUAGGGACCAAGGUAAUGAUUAAUAGGGACAGUUGGGGACAUUAAUAUUUAGUUGUCAGAGGUGAAAUUCUUAGAUUUACGAAAGAUUAACUUCUGCGAAAGCAUUUGUCAAAGAUGUUUUCAUUAA